UACGGGGGGAGCAAGCGUUGUUCGGAUUUACUGGGCGUAAAGGGCGCGUAGGCGGCCACCGCAAGUCGACUGUGAAAUCUCCGGGCUUAACCCGGAAAGGUCAGCCGAUACUGCGGGGCUAGAGUGCAGAAGGGGCAACUGGAAUUCUCGGUGUAGCGGUGAAAUGCGUAGAUAUCGGGAGGAACACCUGAGGCGAAGGCGGCAUCCUGGACCGACAUUGACGCUGAACGGCGAAAGCUAGGGGAGCGAAAC
rnacentral:rRNA from 1 species